rnacentral:lncRNA from 1 species
GGGCUCGAAGAUAUUGGUUUGCGAAUAACUUCGACAGCUGAUUUCUUUCUUCUUCUACAAGUACCUUGGAUACUCCAAAGUGAUAGGAGAUCAGGAGGAAAAAGAGAGAAGGAGGAGAAGAGGCUCUGAAAAUAAAAAAUCUACAAGAGAAUUGAUUAUGGGAUGUCCAAGAGAGGGGUCCCUUUUUUAUAGACUAGGAAUUGG